rnacentral:tRNA from 1 species
GGGUGCUUAGCUCAGUUGGGAGAGCGUCGCCCUUACAAGGCGAGGGUCGGGGGUUCAAGUCCCUCAGCACCCACCA